GACGAACGCUGGCGGCGUGCUUAACACAUGCAAGUCGAACGGAAAGGCCUGCUUUCCCUUGUGGAUUGCGGGUACUCGAGUGGCGAACGGGUGAGUAACACGUGAGUGAUCUGCCCCCAACUUGGGUAUAAGCCUGGGAAACUGGGUCUAAUUCCCGAUAGGACUGCAGGGUGGUGCCUGUGGUGGAAAACGAUUUUCUAGUGGUUGGGGAUGAGCUCGCGGCCUAUCAGCUUGUUGGUGGGGUAAUGGCCUACCAAGGCGGCGACGGGUAGCCGGCCUGGGAGGGUGGACGGCCACAUUGGGACUGAGAUACGGCCCAGACUCCUACGGGAGGCAGCAGUGGGGAAUAUUGCACAAUAGGCGGAAGCCUGAUGCAGCGACGCCGCGUGGGGGAUGACGGCCUUCGGGUUGUAAACUCCUUUCGACCGCGAGGAAGCCACCUGGUUGGAAGGGUGGUGACGGUAGUGGUAGAAGAAGCACCGGCUAACUACGUG
rnacentral:rRNA from 1 species